rnacentral:hammerhead_ribozyme from 1 species
AUCCAGCUGACGAGUCUAAAAUAAGACAAAACACACGUCCUAGAU